rnacentral:rRNA from 1 species
UUGAGAGCGGCGGACGGGUGAGUAAUGCCUAGGAAUCUGCCUGGUAGUGGGGGAUAACGUCCGGAAACGGACGCUAAUACCGCAUACGUCCUACGGGAGAAAGUGGGGGAUCUUCGGACCUCACGCUAUCAGAUGAGCCUAGGUCGGAUUAGCUUGUUGGUGAGGUAAUGGCUCACCAAGGCGACGAUCCGUAACUGGUCUGAGAGGAUGAUCAGUCACACUGGAACUGAGACACGGUCCAG